rnacentral:rRNA from 1 species
GACGAACGCUGGCGGCGUGCUUAACACAUGCAAGUCGAACGGUGAAGCGCCUUCCUUUUUGGUGGGUGUGGAUGAGUGGCGAACGGGUGAGUAACACGUGAGUAACCUGCCCCUUCUUCUGGAUAACCGCAUGAAAGUGUGGCUAAUACGGGAUAUUCUGGGUCUGUCGCAUGAUGGGUCUGGGAAAGAUAUUGUUUCGGUGGGGGAUGGGCUCGCGGCCUAUCAGCUUGUUGGUGGGGUGAUGGCCUACCAAGGCGGUGACGGGUAGCCGGCCUGAGAGGGUGGACGGUCGCACGGGGACUGAGACACGGUCCAGACUCCUACGGGAGGCAGCAGUGGGGAAUAUUGCACAAUGGGCGCAAGCCUGAUGCAGCGACGCCGCGUGAGGGAUGGAGGCCUUCGGGUUGUGAACCUCUUUCGCCAGUGAAGCAGGCCUGCCUCGUUUGUGGGUGGGUUGACGGUAGCUGGAGAAGAAGCGCCGGCUAACUACGUG